AGUGUGAUUGCUGGGUCUUAUGGUAACAGUAUGCUUAGUUUUGUAAGAAACUGCCAAACUAUCUUCCGAAGUGGCUGUACCAUUUUGCAUUCCCACCAGCAAU
rnacentral:pre_miRNA from 1 species